GACGAACGCUGGCGGCGUGCUUAACACAUGCAAGUCGAACGAUGAAGCUGGAGCUUGCUCCGGUGGAUUAGUGGCGAACGGGUGAGUAACACGUGAGCAAUCUGCCCUUGACUCUGGGAUAACUGCGGGAAACUGUAGCUAAUACCGGAUACUUUCACUGGAAGGCAUCUUCUGGUGAAGAAAGAAUUUCGGUCAAGGAUGGGCCCGCGGCCUAUCAGCUUGUUGGUGGGGUGAUGGCCUACCAAGGCGACGACGGGUAGCCGGCCUGAGAGGGUGACCGGCCACACUGGGACUGAGAUACGGCCCAGACUCCUACGGGAGGCAGCAGUGGGGAAUAUUGCACAAUGGGCGCAAGCCUGAUGCAGCGACGCCGCGUGAGGGAUGACGGCCUUCGGGUUGUAAACCUCUUUCAGCACCGACGAAGCGCAAGUGACGGUAGGUGCAGAAGAAGGACCGGCCAACUACGUGCCAGCCGCCGCAGUAA
rnacentral:rRNA from 1 species